GAUGAACGCUGGCGGCGUGCUUAACACAUGCAAGUCGAACGGAGUGCUCAUGACGGUAGGAGUUCGUCCAAACGGAUUGAGUUACUUAGUGGCGGACGGGUGAGUAACGCGUGAGGAACCUGCCUCGGAGAGGGGAAUAACGAAUCUGAAAAGAUUGCUAAUACCGCAUAACAUAUACGAAUCGCAUGGUUUGUAUAUCAAAGAUUUUAUCGCUCAAAGAUGGACUCGCGUCCGAUUAGUUAGUUGGUGAGGUAACGGCUCACCAAGACCGCGAUCGGUAGCCGGACUGAGAGGUUGAACGGCCACAUUGGGACUGAGACACGGCCCAG
rnacentral:rRNA from 1 species